AGUGAACGCUGGCGGUAGGCCUAACACAUGCAAGUCGAACGGCAGCACAGUAAGAGCUUGCUCUUACGGGUGGCGAGUGGCGGACGGGUGAGGAAUACAUCGGAAUCUACUUUUUCGUGGGGGAUAACGUAGGGAAACUUACGCUAAUACCGCAUACGACCUACGGGUGAAAGCAGGGGAUCUUCGGACCUUGCGCGAUUGAAUGAGCCGAUGUCGGAUUAGCUAGUUGGCGGGGUAAAGGCCCACCAAGGCGACGAUCCGUAGCUGGUCUGAGAGGAUGAUCAGGCACAGUGGAAAGGAGAGACGGUGCAGCCUCCUACGGGAGGAAACAGGGGGGAAUAUUGGAGACUGGGCGCAAGAUAGAGCUAGGUAUAGCGCGAAAGUGAAGAAGGGCUUCGGGUUGAAAAGCCCGUUUAUUGGGAAAGAAAAGGAGAAGGUUAAGAACGCGAUGAUCGGAAGGUACCCAAAGAAUAGGCAAGGGCUAACUUCGUG
rnacentral:rRNA from 1 species